CAGUUGCAUCAUGAAGCUUCAUCAUCUCACAAUAGUCAUCAUCGCUCUUUGCUGGGUUAAAGGGGUUUACCUCAGUAAAGAAGGUCAAGUGUCUCAGUCUCCAGCUGAACUUUUGAUGGAGCCACAUAGUAAUGCCAGCCUGACCCUCAAACACACAAUCUCCAGCUAUGACACAAUCCUCUGGUACAAGCGCUCACCAGGAGACACCUCCUUAAAGCUCAUAGGCUACACAUCUUAUAAAACCCAAAAGAUUGAGGAUCCAUUUGAAGGCCAUUUUAAAGUUAGUGGAGAUGGAGAGAAAGAGGCUUCUCUUCACAUACUAAACCUGACUCACCCUGAGGACAGCGGAGAAUAUUUUGGAGCUGCAAGUAGCACAGUGAAAAAGACAGAAGCUUUCUCAUACAAAAACCCCUAUAAUAUGAUAGCAGCACAGCAGGAAACCUCUAAAACCACGUGA